UACGUAGGGGGCUAGCGUUGUCCGGAAUCAUUGGGCGUAAAGGGCGCGUAGGUGGCCUGUGCAAGCGUGCGGUGAAAGCUCGGGGCUCAACCCCGAGUCGGCCGUGCGAACUGCUGGGCUCGAGCACUGUAGAGGCAGGCGGAAUUCCGGGUGUAGCGGUGGAAUGCGUAGAGAUCCGGAAGAACACCGGUGGCGAAGGCGGGUCCUGCUGGGCCGAUGCUGACGCUGAGGACGAAGACGUGGGGAGCGAACAGG
rnacentral:rRNA from 1 species